rnacentral:lncRNA from 1 species
CUUGAUGAUGUGUUGGCCAUGGACAUUAUUUCUGCUAACCCAUCAGUGGGCAGAGACGAUGUCCUACAACGUAAUGUACUCAUCGGUUACAUGAUCGCCGGGCGGGACACGGUUGGUACCACGCUACCGUGGGUAUUCUACAACCUCGCCAGGAACCCCCGUGUGGUCUCUUGCAUCCGCAAGGAACUGGCACCCAUCGCAUCACUCAAGACCACUGCUCUCGCCUCCAAUAGCAUCAGCAGUAUGGUCGUCUUUGAUCCAAAGGAGACUGAACACCUAGUUUACCUUCAGGCAGCCUUAUUGGAGUCGCUCAGGUUGUACCCACCAGGCCCGAUCGAGCGCAAGGUGGUGCUAGCCGACGAUGUGCUCCCAAGUGGUCACCAGUUGUGCUCCGGUGAAACCAUCCUGAUCUCCAUCUAUGCCAUGGGUAGAAUGGAAUCCCUGUGGGGCAAGGAUUGCCAUGUGUACCGUCCGGAGAGGUGGCUGUCCGAGGACGGUGCUAAACUGCGUUACGUUCCGUCCAAUAAAUUCAUGGCGUUUAACACAGGGCCGAGGAUGUGCCUUGGCAAGGACAUAGCAAUUGCGCAGAUGAAGACCAUCGUUGCCGCGGUGGUGUGGAACUUUGAUAUGGAGGUGUUGGAAGGGCAGAGCAUCGAGCCAAAGCUGUCGUGCAUUCUUCAAUUGAAGAACGGGCUCAUGAUGAUGGUUAAGCAGAGAGAGUAAUCAAUGUGACAUGGAAUGAGCUAGGUGCAAUGCAACUACAGAUCGACUCAGUCCUGGCAUAUAUGGUUUGAACAAAAUAGUUAAAUCCAAACUUAUAAUGAAGUAAAUGGAAGCGUAACAUGUAUUUUCGUCAUUAAAUAAAGUCUACGGACGCCGUCGUCUGGCCAUCUGAAAGCUGGGAUCAUACCCAACUACAGACUCUUUGAUUUCAGUACUGAUAGUUUGUACUACUCCCUCUUUCUAAAUAAGUGAUGUUUUCAGAUUAUCUUAAGCUUAUUUGAAACUUUGAUGGCAUAUUAAUUGUUUUUCUAUGUGUAAAAGGUAUACGAGUAUAUUUAUGUUUAAUAGUAACUUCAUCAAAAGCAUCCGUUCACUUUAUGAAUAUUUUGUGACAAAAACUAGCCAUCACAGUUAUGUUUUUGAGGUAAUUUCAAUAUCAAAAACUUCAUUUAUGAGACCGGAGGAACUAACAUACAAAGACAAUGAAUGUAAAUACAAUAUGCCCUCCGGUGUCCUGGACUUCAUAAGUUGUAUCUGCAAUACUCAAGAGUGAAACGAAAGAGGGCGAUGUCAAUUUGAGUGUAUCUAAAGAGACUUAAAACAUUCAAAUGAUGAAUAUAAAUUGUAUCAAAUCAUAGUCCCUAUUAUACUUAUAUAAUUAGUACAAUUUAUUUAAGUUGGAACAUACUUUUUUUUUACCGUGUCUUGAUCCAAGUGCGCAUGUGGGUUUUGCAUGUUUUUCCUUGGUAGGAGGCACCUGACUAAUGCGGUGUCUGGAACCUUGGUUACUCCUUUUUAUUGAUUUCCUUCCUUAAGCUACCUGAGCACCCUAGAAUAGUGAUGGGCUGCCAAGGUAUUGGAUCAAAUGAAUUCAGACACCUCUAUGUAUUUAAGGUAUUGGUGUGAGUAGCGUGUAACGACUGAUUCUGUGCUGAGUCGUACCAACCAUAUCGAGGCUUUGUGCACGCUAGCUCAUUCAGGGUGAAAGUCUGCCCCGUCCGUACAUGAUAAGCUCGAGAGUCGAGACAUUGAUUCGGCAGCUGCCGUACGUGUAUGUCUUUGUCCUUCCAUUUGCUGUACGUGUACGUGCUCGUUCCGUUGGUGCUGUGGACGGAGAGCGGCUACUUAGGCAUGGACUUCUGCCGAAUCCGCAUGAUGGACAACGUCAACCAGGCCCUCGACGCCGCCUUGCCCCCGCCUUGCCCCGCGAUGAUUAGGUAGAUCGGAGGAUGUUUUUCUCGUGUUUUACCGUUGCAUUUGGUAGAUCGGAGGAUGUUUUUCUCGUGUUUUACCGUUGCAUUUGGUAGAUCGGAGGAUGUUUAGGUGACUUAGGGUUAGGUAGAUGAUUUCAAUUUUGAAUGAAAUGCAAUGGUGUUUUGUGUUAGAUGAUACGUAGUUCAGACGCAAUUGAGUCGCUGCCCGCGAUAUUGACAUGUAGAACUUGUCGAUUUAGGUAUAUAUUCAUUGAAUUGUGUAGUUGAUAUGACAUGUAUAUUUUUUGUUUGCAAUUUGUCCAAUAUGUGUAAUGUGUCUAGUUGAUAUGUCGAAUAUGUGCAAUGAGUAGUGUAUAUGACAUGGUGAAAUGUUUGUAUUUUGUAGAUGGAUCGUUUAGUUCGAUUUUUUGAUGGUGGUGUUGUGAAACAAAAUGGGGAGUUAGAGAAUAUGAAUGAAUCAAUUGAAUUCUUCGAGGGUCCUCCAAGUUUUAGUGAUUUAGUUGACCGUGUAAUGAGGAAGUAUGGAUGUAGAGUGGAUGAGAUCAGUUUGAGAGGUCGUUUUGAUUGUGGGAAAGCUAGAGCUCAUUAUGUUCUCAUGAAGUUAGCAUCCGAUGCGAAUUGGAAGCACUAUAAGGAUGUAGUUCACGAAGCUAAUGUUGCAUGUUUGGAGGUUAUAGUCGAAAUUGUUCGUAUGCCUGACCCAAAUGUUGUCAUGAGGGAGGAAGUGGCAGUAGUGAACCAUAAUGGUACCUAGGAGUCAGAAAUGUUGCAUCACGUGUUAGGUGAAACAGAACGUGAUUUUGACUUGGCUAUUGCCAAUGAUGAUUUUCCCAAUAACGUUUUUGAGAGGGAUGAAGCAAAUAUAGAUGUCGAUAAUAUCUCUAUGGGUUCUGAAGAUUGUGAAUUCGAGGAAGAUGGGGUAGUAGAUGUCGAUAAUAUCUCUAUGGUGAGAGUCCAGUGAUUAAGAAGGGGAUGAAGUUCAAUAGUCUUGAGGAAUUGAAGUUUUUCUUGGCUGACUACGCAGUGAGGUUACAUAGACCUUUUAGCAUAGUUCACUCUAACAAGAACUUAAGAUACAAUGUGAUGUGCAAGCAAGGAUGCCAUUGGCGUGUAUGGUCUCGGCUAAUAUCAAGCACCGGAUAAUGGAGAAUUUCAAAUGUUGUGUAACCGCAUACUUGUCGGUCGUCACAGCCAAAAUGAGAGCAUGUACAGUGCACAGCAAAGUACCUUGGGCGGCGUAUCCUAGGCAUUAUCCGUAAAGACAGCGAGACAUCGGUGCCAUCCCUCGUGAAGUCCAUCUUCGCCUUUAGUGGGUACCGUGUGAAGUAUUCGAAGGCUUGGCGGGCGAAGCAACACGCCGUUGCCCUGCUUUGGGGCGACUGGAAGGAGUCGUACGGCAUGGUUCCUAGGGUACUCUCAGCUAUAACCUACUACAAUCCCGGGGUUAAAUGGUGCAUCGACUCAUGUGGCAUGAUGCAUCCUGACAAUGGAGUUUUGAAGCAUAUACUGCAAAGGGUAUUUUGGUGCUUCCCUCAAUGUAGUGAGGCAUUUCAACAUUGCCGUCCUGUGAUACUUGUGGAUGGUACAUUCUUGACUGGCAAGUAUAAUGGUACAUUAAUGAUGGCAGUUGGUGUAGAUCCAAAAUAGUAGCUUGUGCCUCUUGCUUUUUCCUUGGCCGAGAGUGAGAAUAAUGAGAGUUGGUCAUGGUUUAUGAAACUUGUUCGGCGACAUGUUCUUGGACCUUUACGGAUAGUGUGUAUGAUAUCAGAUAGGCAUCAUGGGCUCCUAAAUUGUACGAAGGACCACAUGGAUGGUUUUCCACCGCUUGUGCAUAGGUGGUGCACGAGGCACUUUGCUGCCAACAUGUCGCGUCGGCAGAAGAGCAACCGUGUGAUUGGAAAAUUGAAGAUAUUAUGCAAGGUUCAUACGGAGAGAGAAUUUAGUGAGAAGUUAGAAGAUCUAGUGAAGGACUUGAACGAUGACGCAAAAGAAUGGUUGAAGGGUGAAAUGGAGGACAAGGAUAAAUGGGCGUAGGCUUUCGAUGAGGGAGGGAUGCGUUGGGGUAUUAUGACCACGAACUACUCGGAAUCACUCAACGCAGUUUUCAAAGGCAUCCGAAGUAGGCCCGUCUCUGGAAUUAUUGAAUACUCAUUCGAAAAAUGCAACGCCUACUUUGUGGACCGAUAGCAAAAGGCACGUGCAAUGUUGGAUGAAGGCUAUAGAAUUGGGAAAGUUGCAGAUGAUUAUUUAUUAGAGGCUGAGCUUAGAUCCGUGCACCACUUAGUAGAACCGUACGGGCCAGAAAGGAUGGUGUAUUCUAUAAGAAGUUACGGUACGACUAACAUUGGGGGUGAGAGUCAUGGAGGCCGACACUACAGAGUGGAUCUGAAUGAAGUUUCGUGCACCUGCAAUGUUCCACAAUUGUUGCACCUUCCAUGUUCACACUUCAUUACAGCUUGCAAGGCAAGAGGUCUUAACUAUGAAAGCCCCUUGUACAUGUCACCGUUGUACUCUAGGGAGCACACCGUACAAAUAUGGGAAUCAAGCUUUCAACCUUACCUUGAUCCGUCACAAUGGCCGGCAUAUGAAGGGGUAGGGUACGUGCCUAACCCCAAUUUGAUGAGAAAUAAAGUAGGAAGGAGGCAGAAGAAGCAUUUCACAGGCGACAUGGACGUGUCGGAAGGGAGGUUUUCUGCAGAUUAUGGCACUGGUGAUUUUGAUGUGGACAAGUCGGAAAAUCGUUGCUCGAAGUGCCCCAAGAUCAUUAGGAAUUACACGUGCCGCAAUAGAAAAUCUAAAGGCACGAAAUCUAGGGGGAACAGUAAUAGGCCGCGUUCUUCGAACAAUAGGGUAUGCGCGUUGCUCGUAUUUUGCAUGGUUAUCAUUUUAUCUUUUUUUAUAGUAGUAAAUUAUGAUAGUUACCGUACUUAUCAUAUAAUAAAGCUUUUUACUAAUGAUCUUGUUUGUUGUUUCUUUAGGAUGGCGGCCCUGGCGUACCCUCUUCUUGAGUCGGCUUACGGCUUGCAGCACCGUGCCCACCACCUCGCGGACCUAAAUGAGGUACUACAUCAGUUAUUAACAAUGGUUGGUAAUUUAUGCUAAUGAAUGCAUACCUUAGGAUGAUAAUUGCAAGAUUUUUGUAUGAAAUGUUCUUACAAAUUGAGGAUGUGCCUGUCGUUACUAUUUGCUUGUGUACAAUGUAAACAAUUUCAUACUGGAAAUGUCAUUUAUAUCAUAUUUGUGUUACUUACCACUUUAGUAGCCCUUUAUUCUCAAAUGCAUUGACUUCUCAUUUUUGUAAUAAUCUUAUAAUGUUUUGCAGGAUUUGAAACCACUCGGGGCUAAAGUGCACUCACCACUUAGGUGGGAUGAGCGGUACGCGGAGUACUUGCAGAGAGCUGGUUUUUUGGAUCUCGCUGUUCAGGUUGUCGCGGGUCUCCCUCCAAUGGACGGACCGCUGUUGACCUCUAUGGUCGACAGGUGGCGUCCAGAGACUCACACGUUCCACCUCCCGUUCGGAGAGAUGACCAUCACAAUGCAGGAUGUCGCUAUGAUACUCGGUCUUCCACUGGAUGGGCAGCUAGUGACGGGAAUUAUACAGAAUGAGAAUUGGCAUGAUAUGGUUGAAAUGCAUAUUGGGAUUAGGCCACCAGAGCCAGAGGACGGAGACAACUCCAAGAAGACCUCCGGUGUCAGCUCGGCAUGGUUGAGGGAGCACUUCAACGUUUGUCCUCCGGGAGCAAAUGACGGGGUUCUGCAGUGAUAUGCUUGAGUUUGGCUAUGGCACUUUGUCAGCACAUUCCUCCUUCCAGAUGCAGCUGGGAAUACAGUGUCUUGGAUGGUUCUCCCCAUUUUGGGUCAGCAUUGGGACAACAUAGCCCUUUAUAGUUGGGGCUCAGCGGUUCUUGUCUGGCUGUACAGGCAGCUAUGUGAGGCUUACAGGCGCACCGCGAGGGAUUCCAAUGUUGGAGGGUGCACCUAUAUGCUGCAGAUUUGGAUUUGGGAGCGAAUGCCUGUGGGUUGACCUUCCCGUCUUCGUGUCGAUGUAAGUCACAAUGGCUAAUUCCCUUUUCUGCUUUAAUGUUCGGAAAACUGUUGUAUCAUGUGACCAAUUGGACUUGCAAUUUCAGCCAUGGCAUCGAGACGAUGCUCAUCCCACAUUCUACCAUGUGUGGAAGCAUGUGCGGCCCGUUCGUGGUAAUGCUGAUAGGCGCUACAGGGCCUACACAAACGAGUUUGAUGUUGUCACGCAGUACCAGGUAAUUUGCUCACCAGAGUUUGUUAAGCUCACUUCCGUAUAAUGAUAGAUGAAAUAAGUAUUGUGUAAAAAUUUUUGAGGGUUGAAUGGAAACCGUACGACCGUGAGCAGCUAAGCCACAUCAUAUUUUCACCGAUGUGCUACAGAGACAGAGAGCUGUGGAGGUGCACGACGCCAAUGAUAUUGUACUACGUCGUAGAGUUUCAUAUGCUGCAUAGGGUGAUGCGGCAGUUUGGGAGGAUGCAACCGUGCCCUCCUUUGGAAUUAUCGACUUCGCAGCAGCUGCACAAGUAUGCAGGAAUAAAUAACUAUUGGAGGUUAUUCGAUACACGAACUGAACAUGUUAUACUAAUACUUCACUAAUCUCUGAUGCAGGAUCGACCGCAGAAAGAGGUAUAAGGAGAAUGAUUGGAGGGUGAAGUAUGGUCAGUACCUCGUCAUGUGGGAGAAUAAGCAAGGAUGCGAUCCUGAAGGUGGACUGGCGACCAGGACCAAACAAUGAGUACAUACGAUGGUAUUGUACAUCGACGAGAACUAAAGUGAAACCAUUUUGGAGUAAUGUGCCCAUUGAGGAUGCACCGUUUGACUCAGACGCCGACAUAGCUGAUGCGUAUGACACGGUGACACGCUAUGGGACACAGCCUGAGCGUGCACCUCUCCACGACUACAUGGUAAGAUUUCGGUUUGUAAUCAUAGUAUCGUAACAUUGAUCACUCAUGGAAUGAAAACUAUGCGUACAGGGACAGCAGCUUGCAAGGCUCUCAAACAAGGCGGGUGUGGUUAUGGAGCACGCCGUCGGAUCCGGUGAUGGUCUGCUUCGUCAGUUUGCAGAGGUAGAAGCCCAACCUAAUUUUCACUUAUACUCGUACUACCUUUGUAACCCUAUCAAUAUCAUAGUCGUGAAUAUAUGCUGCUUACAUGUUGCAGAGGAUUCGGAAAAGCUGCAGGCGAAUGGCCAUGAGGAUGAACUGCAUGUCGUCCUCAGAUGUGCACCACGGGGGCAAUGGCCAGGGUACUUCUUCGGGAUCACGUCGGACUCCAUUGGCGACUCCCCCCAAGGCUGCAACACCGUCCACUGCUGCAGGUCCUAGCAGGAGAUCCGAGGCAAGAAACCCGCAUCCCCUCAGGCAAGCGAGGACUCUGAAGGUGAGCAGUCUGAGGAUGACGACCCUACAUAUGGUGAGGAACUGGAGAUUUCCGGCAUGAUCGAUGCUCCACCUGUGACUCAGACACAGGGUGAGUCCAGCCAGGUACAUUCACAAGUUUCCCCAAAUUCAAUUCUAGAUUGUUAAUGUUCACUCCCGAAGUGUCAUACAAAUUUUAUGCUUUGUGCCCAAUUAUUCCAUAGGAACCUGCACCUCCUACCCGGAUGCCACGCCGGCGGCGUCUUUCCCGGGACCAUACCGACGUUGGCAGCGCCAAUGUGCUGCCCACGCAUCCAAGGAGGGAGCGUCGCCCAAGAGAUCCUUUUAGCCCUCCGGUUGAGCGGCGGUCAUGACACUGAACGUUACAUAUCUCAAGUGUGAUGCACUAGGUGUGCAAUUUAUGUUAUAUGUGUGUGCAAGACUAUUGGAACUGUCACGUGUGUAAAAGACUAAGUUGGUUGUUAGGUUUAUUUCUGUCACGUGUGUAAAAGACUAAGUUGGAUGUUAGGUUUAUUUCUGUCCGUAUAAUGUUAUAUGUUUGCUCCAUGACAUACUUGUGUUUCGUGUAUUUUUUCGUAAAUGUUCGCACUGGUAGGCUAUCGCGUACUAGACGAGAUACGGAAUAAUUUCGUGGUUCAAACUAGUUUAAGAAAAAUCAGAACAAAAAAAGCUAUUUAAGUUUCAUCAGCCGGAUUGCUGGGGCAGCUGAGUCGGCGGUAGUCUAGCAGCCCAGAAACCUACUGAAACUUUAAUGGAUUUGGCACGGGAGGGCACCCCUGCCGCCCCAGGCGGAGUGGCGCGGCAGCCCCCAUCCACCAAAACCUACUGAAAACUUUGUGCAAAUGGCGCGGCAGCGCACUCCUACCGCGCCACUCCGCUUGGCACGGCAAGCCCCCCCCCCCAAAAAAAAAACCUACUCAAACUUUGUUUCGCUUGGCGCGGCAGCGCACUCCUGCCGCGCUAGGCGGAGUGGCGCGGCAAGGCCCGCCCCCCCCGAACCUACUGAAACUUUGCUGCGUUUGGCGCGGCACCCCAACUUUGCCGCGCCACUCCGCCUGGGGCGGCAGCGGCAUUCCUGCCGUGCCACUUCCCUUGGCGCGGCAAGCCCCUCCACCCCCCGACACCUACUGAAACUUUGUUUCGGUUUGCGUGGCAGUGCACUACUGUCGCGUCACUCUGCGUGGUGCGGCAAGCCCCCACCCCACGAAACCCUACUGAAUCAUGAGGAUAGUAUUUUAUCAUGGUGUUGGAGUCCUAGUUUUCAUGGAUUCCUUUUUUUUACCGGGGUCGACCCUAAAGCCAUAAUGUCUCAAAACGCAGAGGGUAUAGAGAAACUUUUCUUUUUUCCUUUGUCUCGAACUUCGUGAAGAACUCCAUUCUAUAUCUCCAACAAAAAAGUAGGGUUGCGCCCCAGUUGUACACUCCCUUCGUUCGGAGAACCCUUAUUGAUUCUGAACUUUGUUCGCAAAGUAAGCAUCCUUUUAACGGGCCAGCCCUUUUUAAUGCGCCGCUUGACCCAGUUUUGAAAAUGAGCUUUGCUCUUCUGGGCGCCCCAACGUAUCCAGGCCAAAUCCCAACCGGCUUGGGUCGGAUAAAAAAUGCUCAAAUAUACCCAAAAAUGCUCGGAUAUACCCUACGCUCUAUCGGACCCUACCAGUAAUUAUAGAAAGAGUAUUGUCUUUUUUUAAAUAUUACAGUACUUCUUCACAAGUUUUUGUUCAAUCUUAAUUUUGAUCGAAGCUACUACUGUUUCUUUGACACUCUAGCGCUAACUACUAGCUCGGAGAGGAAACUUUGAUGCGUUUGGACAUAGUUCUCUCACAAAUGAAAAUUGUUUUUGACAACUAAUCGUAGUUCUCAGAAUAAACAUAAACAUAGUUUUCUCAUAAAUGAACAUAGUUUUCACAACUAAAGAGAAACAUGAUUCAGCAAAAUUAACACGUUCAUCUAGUCCAAGUCACCUUCAUAUAGUAACUCAUCAUCAUCAUCAUCCUCGGCAACAACAACUCCCUUCCCUUUCUUAUCGACAUUAACCUUACCAACAGGUAAAUCGGCAACAAGAGCCUUCAUCGUCUCCAUCUGUGCCUCUUCCGCUUUUUGUUGUAACUCUUCCAUUUCAAUCCUUCUCUUUCUUACCCUAACCUGCUGCAAAUAUUCUUCCCAUGAACCCUUAGGGUAUUUCGCAUUCGGAUCAACCACAUAACCUAAGCGAUCUCUUUCCUCCCUCAACCUUUGUUUCUCCAACUCCCUCUCCUCCUGCAACUUCCUCCUAUUUUCACUCUUCUCAUUUUCAGUUAGAGGUCGUGGAUACUUGGAUCUAUUCUGCCUCCAAUACUUAAUAAUAGUUUCCCUCGCAUAAAGUCCUUCAGGCUCCACUCCAGUCUCAUGCACCAUAUCUUGAUAUAUUUUCCCCCGAAGCAAGUCGUUGUCAGGGAUAGGCACAUCAUACUCCUUCCUAAUCUUUUCUUUAAGUUCUUGUUGUUUCCUUGACUUCCAUGGUUCCGAUGUAUUACCCAACUUUAAUAACAAAUCACAACGACCAGAAAAAUCUUCCCAAUCACAUGUCCUUCCCUCCUGCAACAACAAUUUCAUAUUCUUACAAAUUUGAAACAAGUUCCAACCUUAAUAACACACAAGAGACGAGUAGUUACUAACCCAGUAAUCGCCAUGUGCAUUUCCACAGAACGAACCAUAUCCAAGUUCAGAAGGCACCACACCUUGUGUUGCCAAUAUACCACACUUGCAUCUAUCACUAGGAGAGGACACACAUGGCCACGGUGCCUUUCCACUCUCGAACUCCAGCACUUGCUCCUCCGUUGGCCACAUUGCCAUUGGGCCGUAUAUAUACUCAUUGAAAUCACACAACGGCCACCCAUCCUGCAAAAAAAUGGUGACGUGAACUACUCAUACGUAAAGUAGCUAGAAAACGCUGCUCCAACUUCCAAGCAAUAACAUCAAGUAAAAGUAUGAACAAUAUACUGCAAAAUUAUAACUGCUAGCUACAUGACAUACUAAUAUUCUCAUAAUAAACUUACAUGAGUCUUUAGCGAGCAUCGAAAGAAUGGAGUAAACUUAGGUGGAUCCUCUAAGUUAGGACGCAUAAGCUUAGCAGGAACACCACACUUGCACAUGGGAGGAUCCCUCACACGCCUACAAGCAGCCUCCUGCUUCUCCUCCUCGGUCAUCCUAGGUGGGUUUGGUGGAGGAGGAACCCAACGCCUAAAGUGAUGGUAUGGUUUAAGCUCUGUGCUAUGAUAUGGGAAUAGGCGGAUCCUAGGAUCAUAUUUGUCGGGUCCAUCAAUCUACUGAAAGAAAUCACAAGGUGCGGCAGGCAUUGGAUCAAAAGUCCACUUGCAUACAUAGAAGGCUCUUCCGGCUGUCUUUGGAUGACUUGAUUGUUUCACCUCUGCUUGCACGCCACAUCUACAAAGAGGUACCGGAAGGGCAGGAGGUACGGGACCAGCACCAUUGGACUCGCCCACAUACGGACAUACCACCUACGCCGCUUGUAUUCACAACCAAACGACGUCAUCUCACCUAGACAUCAAGUGCUACAAAAUUAAUACACAAAUAAACUUUACACACGUAAUCCAAACGAGCUAUAUACAUCAUUUCGAUAAAAUGUAAACACUCCAUCUACAAAAUACAAACUCUGAAACAUAUCAACUAUAGCAACUAUAUUAAGGAACAAAAAUAUGAGACAAAUUAAUUGAACAUAUAAAAAAAUACAUGUCAUGUAAACCACACAAUUCGAUGAGUAUAUACCUAUAUCGAAAUAUUCAACAAGUUCUACACAUCAAUAUCGCGGGCAGAGACUCAAUUGCGUCUGAACUACGUAUCAUCUAACACAAAAUACCAUUGCAUUUCAUUCAAAAUUGAAAUCAUCAACCUAACCCUAAGUCACCUAAACAUCCUCCGAUCUACCAAAUGCAACGGUAAAACACGAGAAAAAGUAUGGGGAUACCUUCCACACGGAGCAGGGAUCGAUUUCCACCACUUACCCCCACCAAAAUCGCCGAAUUUUGGGUGGAUUUGGGGGUGGUGCGGCGGGGGGCGGCGCAACAAGCUAGGGGCGCUGGUCUGUCCGGAGGAGGAAGAAAGGAGGGAGGGAGGAGGAAGGGAGCCAGCGCGCUGCUGUAGCGUAGGCUCUGCCGCGCCAUGCGGGCUGGCGCGGCAAGUGCCCGCCCACGUCAGCGUGCACCUGGCGCGGCGAGUCACCGCGCGAGCGUGGUAGGGGCCCGUCGCGCCAGUGCAUGCGGCGCGGCAGAGGCUACCUGCCGCGCCAGGCGGUCUGGCGCGGCCAAAAGGGUUAUCUGCCGCAAAUAUAGUCCCGCGGAGGUUAUUUUUAAAAUAAAUAAAAAAAGGUUAAAAAUAAAAAAAAGAGAACAAAAAGAAUCAAGUCAGAUUACGGAGAGGUUCGAAUGACUUAAUUUAUUAAAGGACCACUUCACUGGACGGAUCUCCUAAUAUCCAACCUAAUUUUAAUUAUGAAAUAAUUGAAGCAUAUCGAUCUGUCAUGAACAACAAUUAUAUCAGGAUUGAAUUAGCAGUCACUGUUGAAAUUGCAAAUGACCAUCAACCAAACCUUCUUAUUAUAAGAUAACAGUAGUAAAACUGGCUUCUUUUUUCUUGUCUGUAAGACGCUCUACUCGUGUAUCAUCAUAAGAAAAAAAUCCUAAGAAUGGUAGUGAAGAUGAGCAGUAGUACCAGAGGUCGAUUUACCUAUUUGAUAGCCCUUUGCCACCUGUAGAGCUCUAGUAAACUGAUUGUUUCCUUCUGUGUUUCAUCCUGGGCAACAACAGGAAAAUUGUCAAAGGAUCAUAAAUAAAAACAAACACACAAUGCAUGUUGUUAAUAUUACUAUUGGAAAACUAAAAAAAUGUCAAGCAGUAGUAAUUUCAAGUGCCAACAGCAGGAAAAUUGUCAAAGGAUGAUAAAUAAAAACAAACACACAAUGCAUGUUGUUAAUAUUAAACUCUAAAUCUUUGGAUUUCAUCCCAUCAUCUUGACUUUCCAAUAUCACAACAUCAUUUGAAUUUUCUUCAGUGACAUGAUUUUGUACAGAAUUGAUACCAAUUUCUGCUGUGUUUGUUUUUCUCAUGUAGUGGAGUCACAAUCACAAGUCAUUGAUGCAAAUGAAAAGAGAAGGAAAAGAGAUAGAGAGCGUUAUGCCAAAAUUACAGAUGAAGAAAAGCAUGAUAAACUGAAAAAACAACAUGAAGCCUAUCAUAGAAGGAAAGGUAGAGAUGCAACACAGUACCAAAAAAAAUACACAAAAGAGAGACAGAAAUAUGCAAAUAUGCAGCUAGAACAAAAGAAAGCUAGAAUAGAACAAGCCAUAACUAACCGUGAAAUGAGGAGCAGCAAAACAACGAAAGGUUCAAUUGCAAUAGAGAAUCCUGCAUAUAUUGAAACAAAUAUGUUAGUUGAAGUCAAUACAUCUAGCCUUAAUGUUAAACACAGGAAACAUGUGACGCCAGGAGAAAGGCAAACAUUGCUAGCCCGUCAAAAUAAAAAAAUCAUAAAAAAACAAAAGGGGACAGUUUAUUCAUCAUCAGAAGAAGAUGAAACCAUGAGCGAAGAGGACAAUGACAUAGAAAUGCAAAAACAGGCAAAAAUCAUGAAUCUCGGUAAUAUUCUAAAUUCUAUACAAAACUUUCGCAUUUCAAUACAAUAUAUGCAAUACUUUAAAAUUUGAAUAGACUACAUACAUCCAUAUAUUAUACUAACAAUCUCAAUCAAACAGAAAUACCCUCUUCAGUAUGGACAACCAUAGAAGGCAUUGAUGCCCCAAAACAACUAACAAAUGAUAAAGAUAAGGGUAAGGUUAUCAACUCCAAAGUAUAAAUUCUCACAUGAUACAAAAGAAACAAAAAUAUGUAUUCACAAAAAUCUGUACAGAUAAUGAUGGAGUGAUAUUUGAACAAGACACGAACGAGGAUGAUUACAUGUUCUCAUGUCAAGGUAUGCUUCAAUACUUUAAAAAAAAUCCUUCCAUCAUUAUGUUAAUACUUUCCUAAAAAAUUUUAUAUAAAAAAAAUUCAACAAAAUUGGACACAGAUGUGGAUAUCGAAAUCAGAGAAGACGAAGAAACUACUACAAAGAUCUCAAAUCCAUAUGACAUUGUCUACAACAACGUACUAGACGACACAAACAUGCUGAAAAAUAAAAAAAUUUGCAUAUACUGUAAUGCAAAGAAAUUUGAGUAUGAAUCUGAGGGGUUAUGAUGCAGAAAACGACAUAUUAGAUUAGCCAAUCAAGAGACACCUCCUGAACUCAUGAGACUUUGGACAAGCAACGAUUCUGAUGCAAGACAUUUUUGGAACAAUAUAAGAUUUUUCAAUGGACACUUCUCAUUUACAUCUCUUUAUUGCCACCUAGACAGUGCGACCACUGACAUGAAAAAAGCUGGUAUUUACACCUUUCGAGCUCAUGGCCAGAUGUAUCACGAUAUACAAUCAUUUGGAAAUAGUUGCUCAGAUCCAAAGCAUCUAGAGUUGUACUUCUACGAUGAUGAUCCAAGCCUAGAGCAUCAGUAUCGAUGCUGCCGUGAAGAAAAGUACAAGCAAGACAAACAUGUAGUCACAAUUUUAACACAAAUUCUACGUGAAAACCCAUAAUCUAAACAGUUUAGAAGUUUGGGACAGAAUGAAAAACUUGAUGACUACAGGCUGAUCUUGAACCUUGACCAAAGAUUAGACCAAAAACCAUACAAUGCACCAAUAACUUUAGAGGUAGCUGUAGUGUGGAUCAAGGGAAAUGAAAGAAGAAAUACCUUUGACAAGAAUGUAAUACUACAUGGAAACAACAACGAAAUACAAGGCAUCAAAUCAUACUAUGGCUGCUAUGAUCCAUUAUCUUAUCCUCUAUUCUUUCCAAGAGCUGAACUCGGUUGGCAUUGAAAUAUCCCAAGGGCCAAUACAAUAUUGGAAGAAUUGAGAAAUGAUAAUGUUGAUCGCAACAAUAGUGACAACGACCCAGGUUAGAAUUUCAUAUACUUUUGUCUUCUAAAUUUAGUUUACUAAUAUGAAACAACUACAUAAAUAUUCCUCUAACUUUAGCGUUCCAAUUCUUACACAGAUUCAAGCAGUAAGCUGUGGGUAACCAUGAGAGAAUAUUACUGCUAUAAAUUCCAUGCAAGACCAAGCAUAUUCAACCCAAUAUUGCAUGGUGGUAGACUUUUUCAGCAGUUUGCCGUUGAUUCAUACAUCAAGAUUGAGAGCUCCAGAUUGGACUUCAUAUGGCAUCAUCAGAAAGAAAUAAGGGCAGAUCUAUACAAAGGCCUCCUGGAUAGCAUUCAAGAAGGAGAACAAAAGGGAGAUAAAGUAGGAAAACGAACGGUGCUAGCAUCAUCAUUUAUUGGAGGGCCAAGAGAUAAAUUGCGACGAUAUCUAGAUGCUAUGGCUUUAGUAAGCAAAUAUGGAAAGCCAGACAUAUUCCUAACAAUGACCUGCAACCCAAACUGGGAAGAGAUCACCCGAGAACUAGAGUUUGCACAAACUCCUCAAGAUCCCCCAGAUCUCGUGGUUAGGGUUUUCGGGGCAAAACUAGAAGAAAUGAAGAAUCAAUUGUUUAAAAAGCACAUUCUUGGAAAGGUAAAGGCAUAUACCUAUGUUGUAGAGUUCCAAAAGAGAGGCCUACCUCAUGCACACUUUUUGCUGAUAAUGACCGGAAAAUACAAGUAUACAUGUCCAGAGCAAUAUGACAGAAUAAUCUAUGCCGAGCUGCCAGACAAGCACGAGUAUCCAGAUCUAUAUAAAAUGGUCAUCAAACAUAUGAUGCAUGGUCCUUGCGGCAUAUUAAACAGAAAUUGCCCUGCACAAAGAAUCGAGCAUCUUGCAAACACAAUUAUCCAAGACCAUUUAAUGAAACUACAAUUCAAGGCAAGGACUCCUACCCAUGGUAUAGAAGAAGAAAUGACGGUCGCACUGAAACAGUCCGGAACUGUAAACUAGAUAACAGAUGGGUUGUUCCUUACAACCCAUACCUAUUGCACUUUUUCAACUGCCACAUAAAUGUUGAUGUAUGCUCAAGCAUUAGAGCCGUUAAGUAUCUGUUCAAAUACAUCUACAAGGGACAUGACCGGGCCUCUGUAUCUGUAACUGGAGCAGAUGAUGAAGGAGAAAUUGAUGAAAUUAGAUAGUACAGAAACGCACGGUGGGUUACACCUCCAGAAUUAAGCAUGCAAGUGCUGAGAGCCGAUAUAUAUCUUUGACUCUAUUGGAAGUGUUUGAAGUGAGCAAUACAUCAUUUUAUAUAAAUCCAAUCCAUUUGAUCACAUUAAAAUUCAUGAGACAAGUCUCUCUGUCCCCGUUAAGUCAUAUAUGAAGGGUCAAAACAAACUGGUAUAAAAAGCAUGUACAUAAACCGUAUGUAUAAUUGGUGGUAGGUUUGCCGGUAUGUAAAAGUUAUAUUGUUUAUGCGGAUCUAUCUAUUUAUACCUAUAGUAAUCACAGAUGCUCUAGAAAAUCCCACGUCAACGAGAAAGAGAAAAUAUCUAGCCAUUGAUCCAUCGUGGCCCCCUUUUUUUAGCCGUUCAGAUUUAAAAAAGUACAAUUAGUUAUUAGUUACUUGCAUUUGGUUAACUUUGCUAGGUUGUUCUAAGGAUAAUAGGUGCAAAUGGACAGUGGGGCCACUGGUGGACGUGCGUUCCUUGACAGAGCAUGCCUACACGAGAACUAAGGAAGACCGGCUGUGUGGACGUGGAGGAUGUGAUAUUACACGAUGCUGGAACAUGGACGGUUGCCACGUUAAUCCUCGGGUACAAAUUAGAAUUCAUUACAAUUUUUAGGAAAAAUAUGUACGGAUGUAUGAUCCGUUAGAGGAAAAGUGAAUAGGACGGACCAAAAUGUUGGAUCCUUUGUUGGAAAAAUGGUUUGAAUUUUGGCAAUGUGAGUAAGGAUUUCCUUUGUUUUGAGAGAGAGCCAAAUAGGAUUACAUUAUUUGUUAAUGUUCGUCUCAUAUUGAUUUUCAACCUUAAAAAAAUGAUGCACUAUUUCAACUACAAUCACAUUAAACAAAACAUAAAAUUCGAUCCAUCUUGGCCUCUCGAGCUAUGUGAGUAGGAGAACAGCAUAGCAAAGAUAAACGAUCUAAUUAAUCUUCCUAGGAAGAGAUUUGAACUCUUGGAAACAACAAAAUGAAAUCAUGCAAUUCGAUUGGCAAAGUGACAAUACAUCAUCGGUACAAUGAUCAAAAAUAGCGAUUCUUGGUGAGGUACAAAUGUAUGAUCCAUUGUUGGGAAAGCAAAUAGGACGGACUAAACUUUUCGUCACAUAUUGAUUUUCAGCCACUAAAAAAAGCGAUGAGGUAAGAUAGUCAUUUGUUUCUAAAUACACAGUACAACAUAGUCAUUGUUUCUAGUCCGUUGCGGUGCGGUGGGAUAAGAAUAAAUAAUCACAUGACAAGACAUGGCAUGGCAGGCUAUCAUGCAACAUCAUGACUAGGGAAAACCAAAAGCACCAAGGAAGAUGAACAGAUUCUUGCUGAUGUCCCAUCACAGAGCAAAUAAAGCAGGAUAAAAGGGGAUUGAUCUUCGAACUAGAAAAUAGGGGAUCGAUCUUUCCAUUGAUCUUACAAAUAAAAGAUAACAGCAUAGCAAAGAUGGCCAGGGUUCCAACAAAAUCUAAAUCUAAAAUUACUAAUUAACAGCAUAGCAAAGAUAACAGCUGGCCAGGGUUCCAACAAAAUCUAAAUCUAAAGUUACUAAUUAACAGCAUAGCAAAGAUAACAACAUUGAUCUUCCACUAGCGCGGCUUGCUCACUCCAUUCACCCCUCGUUCCCGGCCAUGACGUGGUGGCGGCUCCACUUCUUAUGGUUCUCGCCCCUCAGGGGGUGGACCCAGAACGUGGUCCUUGACCUCAUUAAGGAUCCCCCACCGAUGCCUCGUUCCGGGGUAGACAGGGCACGCGAAGGUGUUGUCAGCGCGGUGAAAGAUGCGUAGAGUAUCACCCCGGGGGAAGGGCGUGUGGUAGUCGCAGCGCCGGUCGUCUGAUGAGUCCGUCAGUUUGGGAGUCGGAGUCGAACCCAUCAGCUGGAAGGGUCACAAUCAAGGUCAACUCUUGAUGCGGUGACGAGGGCGUGAGGGUGGAGGAAGCCACCCCCACCGUCGGAGGAGAACGGGAACGCACCGGGGAGCCCACAAUAGCUCCGCAGCGACCAUCCACGAGCGAUAGCAGGUUGAGGUCGGCAGCGUUGGAGCGCGAUCACGACGACGAGCGCAAUGGCCACCCAAGGUCGCUGGCGUCAGAGUGGGAUACCGACGAGAAAGCGCCGCCGUAACGGGACGACCCCACUGCGUGGACGUAGCGCCAUAGCGCUGCCGUGAAGUUGCGGGCAGUGGCGCGGCAGUAGCACGGCGACAACCCGCCACAGGAGCACGACGACGAUGAGAGGGACCUUUAGUCCUGAAUGAUUAGUUUCGGUUGAUUUUUCGAGAGAUAUGAGGCUUACCAAGCAGAACUAAUGCUCAUAUUUCCACUAGUGAGUGCAAGGUUUCCUCGACGCAUAAGACGAUUUAUCCACCGUGGUUCCUAACCACAAGUAGAAAUGCACACAUUUACUAGGGGCGGUUCCUUAAGAGAAGUGUAUUUUCCAGGGGCAGUUCCUUAAGAUAAGUACCGAUAGAAAUCUGGCAGUGUUCAGGUACAGUGCGCGAAAGCAACUGCUAGUGACUGUAGAUAACGAUAUCCAUCGAUACAAAUAAAGGCUAGUAUCACAUCUAAAAACUAGCUUUGAUAUUCAGCUCAGAUCCGUGCCUCUAACUUUUCGUGCUCAUUAUAUAAAUCAUAAAUUUCCUAAAAAAUUAACAAAAUCGUACAUAAAAAUCCAGAAUGUUUAUCAAAAGGUAAGAUUCAAAUCAGUGGUAGAUGUUCAGGAUUAACAACUUUCUUACUCCACAUAUUUUUGUUAGGUGAGGAGGCAUUGCAAGUUUGCAACUGUUGAAUGAAAUCCGUACUUCGAUGGAACUAGGAGGUAGUUGGUUUGAAGUAUAUACCAUUUAGAUAUCUAAUAAUCCUUCCUUUUAUUUCAAUAAAAAUAUUGGUUCCACGAUCAUCUAGGAGUAUGGUCUUGUACUCUCUUCUUGUUCGAGCUUUAUGUGAAUCCAACCCUAUGGAGCCAUAUUCAAUGCUCGUUAAAGAUAGUAACUAUACGGGAGUAAUGAGAAGUUAAAGGGAUGAUUGAGAUAAGACAUGUGGCAUCCAUCAAGAUAGUGAUCCUCCAUGGAACUGAAUUCAAUGCUUGAUAUCGAACCUGUCCUGAAGAUGAAAAGUUUCUCUAUAAAUUUAGACGUCCUAAACUUCAAUUCUUGUGCACACAGAAUCUACUCGCAGUCGUAGGCUCGUAGCUUAUAGACAAAUGACAUUGCAAGCAAUGGCGUUGCCCUACUUGCAAGAACUAGUCAUCUCCACACUUCUCGUUGUAUCAUUGUGCAUGUACAUUAAGUUCUGGAGGCUGAGAAACCCGUUGUACCCCAUGGACUGGCCGGUUGUGGGCAUGCUCCCUUCCAUCGUUGCCAAUCUCCACAACUUCCACGACGUACUCACUGUCUUCCUUGCCACCAACGGGUGUAACUUCAAGGCGCGAGGGCCGGUAGCAAGUGGCAUGCGGUUCUUCGUCACCGCUGAACCGGCAAACGUCCGGCACAUCUUCACCUCCAACCAUGCAAACUACCCCAAGGGCGAGGAUUUUGCUGAAAUCUUCGACAUCAUUAGCGGCACCCUCUUCACCAUUGAUGGUGAGGCCGUCCGCCAGCAGAGAGCCAUGUUCCAGAACAUCUUCAGCAAUCCACGGUUACUUGCCUUGAUGGCAAGUUGCUGCCGUGACAAGGUGGUGAACGGACUCCUCCCGUUCUUGACCCGCAUGGGGAGCACCAGGACAACGUUCGACAUGCAGGAUUUGAUCACAAGGUUGGUGUUCGACCUUACUGCCACGCCGAUCUUCGGUGUCGACCCGGGUUGCCUGUCCAUCAGCAUGCCGUCUAUCCAUGUUGCAACCGCCAUGGACACGUUCAUGGAGGUCGGCUUAUUCCGGCACACCAUACCGGCUUGUUUCUGGAAGGUGAUGAGACGGCUAAACAUCGGUCCAGAGAGGAAGCUGGCCAUGGCGCAAACAGUGAUGCAUGCUUUCAUCAGGGAGAUGACUGAGAAGUCGAAAGCCAGGUGCACCGAUAUCCUUGAUGAUGUGUUGGCCAUGGACAUUAUUUCUGCUAACCCAUCAGUGGGCAGAGACGAUGUCCUACUACGUAAUGUACUCAUCGCUCACAUGAUCGCCGGGCGGGACACGGUUGGUACCACGCUACCGUGGGUAUUCUACAACCUCGCCAGGAACCCCCGUGUGGUCUCUUGCAUCCGCAAGGAACUGGCACCCAUCGCAUCACUCAAGGCCACUGCUCUCGCCUCCAAUAGCAUCAGCAGUAUGGUCGUCUUUGAUCCAAAGGAGACUGAACACCUAGUCUACCUUCAG